rnacentral:rRNA from 1 species
UACGUAGGGACCAAGCGUUGUUCGGAUUUACUGGGUUUAAAGGGCGGGUAGGCGGCCACCGCAAGUCAGUUGUGAAAUCUCUGGGCUUAACCCAGAAAGGUCAACUGAUACUGCGGGGCUAGAGUGCAGAAGGGGCAACUGGAAUUCUCGGUGUAGCGGUGAAAUGCGUAGAUAUCGAGAGGAACACCUGCGGCGAAGGCGGGUUGCUGGGCUGACACUGACGCUGAACUGCGAAAGCUAGGGGAGCGAACGGG